CUCUCUCUCUCUCUCUCUCUCUCUCUCUCUCUCUCUCUCUCUCUCCUCUCCUGGUCAGUACUGAUGGAGUGUGUGUGUCUGUAGGUCAGUUCUGUUCUCUCUCUCUCUCCUCUCUCUCCUCUCCUGGUCAGUACUGAUGGAGUGUGUGUGUCUGUAGGUCAGUUCUGUUCUCUCUCUCUCUCUUCUCUCUCUCCUCUCCUGGUCAGUACUGAUGGGGUGUGUGUGUCUGUAGGUCAGUUCUGUUCUCUCUCUCUCCUCUCUCUCCUCUCCUGGUCAGUACUGAUGGGGUGUGAGUGUCUGUAGGUCAGUUCUGUUCUCUCUCUCUCUCUGUCUCUCUCUCUCUCUCUCUCUCCUCUCCUGGUCAGUACUGAUGGAGUGUGUGUGUCUGUAGGUCAGUUCUGUUCUCUCUCUCUCUCCUCUCUCUCCUCUCCUGGUCAGUACUGAUGGGGUGUGUGUGUCUGUAGGUCAGUUCUGUUCUCUCUCUCUCUCUCUCCUCUCCUGGUUAGUACUGAUGGUGUGUGUGUGUCUGUAGGUCAGUUCUGUUCUCUCUCUCUCUCCUCUCCUGGUCAGUACUGAUGGUGUGUGUGUGUCUGUAGGUCAGUUCUGUUCUCUCUCUCUCUCUCUCUCUCUCCUCUCCUGGUCAGUACUGAUGGUGUGUGUGUGUCUGUAGGUCAGUUCUGUUCUCUCUCUCUCUCCUCUCCUGGUCAGUACUGAUGGUGUGUGUGUGUCUGUAGGUCAGUUCUGUUCUCUCUCUCUCUCUCUCUCUCUCUCCUCUCCUGCUUAGUACUGAUGGUGUGUGUGUGUGUGUGUGUGUGUGUGUGUCCGUAGGUCAGUCAUGCAGUCCUGCAGUUCUGCCCUUUGUGUCCUGAUCUUACUGAUAGGUACAGGCACUGAUGCCUCUACAUCGCUGGACUCUGCUGGUGCCAACGCUACAGCUAUUAACACCUCUACAUCGCUGGACUCUGCUGGUGCCAACGCUACAGCUAUUAACACCUCUACAUCGCUGGACUCUGCUGGUGCCAACGCUACAGCUAUUAACAGUAAGUGAGCAGUCAGAGGUCAGACUUCACUAUUCAGACAGCCAAACACAUGCUAA
ensembl:lncRNA